rnacentral:lncRNA from 1 species
CUGCAGAGAGUAUCUUUCCUGAUUGUGUCCAGGAGGAGGAGGGUUAAGAAUGCAGAGAGGAGGGUGGGAAGGGAAUCCCUCGCUUGGAACUUGAGACUUUCCAGCUGAGAGGGGGAUGCAGACGUCACUCUCCUCACUGCUGCGCUCAGCUCCCAUGUCAAAGGAAGUCCAGGGAAAGAGCAUCAAGGAAUCCAGCACCACUGAGAAUACAGAUAUGUAAUGCCAUCACUUCCGACUUCGGUUGGUUCUGGAAGCAGCAGGGAUGAUUCCUCCUCAACAAAAGCACUUCUUCAAGAAUCCUGAACUAGGCAUGCCCUCAUUAUGAGGAAAAGUAAGCCACAUUUUUCUCUCUCUUGCCUGUGCUAUACGGAAGGGAAUAUACUCCACCUUA